rnacentral:lncRNA from 1 species
CGGGGCGGCCCCGGGUCGGGGUUGUGUGGUGCUGCGAGGCUCCGUCAGGUGCCUGCCCGUGGGCCUGUCGGGCUUCCAUCCCUCCCGCAGCACGGCUUGUGCUGCACCGUGGGCGUUCUGUCAGGAUUUGGUGCUUCUAGGUGAAGUUUCACAGAUGUCCAUCGAAUGGAAUCGGUGCAGAAAUACUGGCCUGGGUGUACGGGGAGACCAGCAGAUGUGAGGAUGGAUCCAUUGGCUUCACUGGGGUGGGAAAGAUGCUCAAGAAAAACGCUUGGGAACAUCACCAGCAUGAAGGAAAAGAGAGCAGAUCUGCUCCAUCUGUGUAGGUAACGUUACAGUAGGGCACACGUGGGUUGUUUUGAGGGCUGUUGAUGCUAUUUUUUCUUCCUAGCAUGUAUCGAGAAACAAGCUGUGGAAACUCAAUAGAUGCUGUAGACAAAUGUCUUUGAGCAUCUUCUCAGCCAUCCUGAACACUGCUUUUCCAGCAAAAGUUGAUAGCUGCCCUUUUUUAGGGGUCACCACAAAGACCAGAGAGCAUCAGACAUUGGAAGAGCCAUGUCACCUUCCUCUAUGAGUCAGAGCUGGUGUUUAGGGUACUUCAUAGCACAGGGAUCUUUGGGGCAUUACAUGAAGAACCAUGAGAAGAACACGGCUUUAUUCCUACAGGUUGGCAUAACCUGAAGUUUAAGCACAUGGCUCUAAGUUUACUGCAGAAAAGAAAGCUAUUCUGUAAUACAGUAGCUGUGCUAAUAAGCCUUGAUGACUAACUAGCUUCAUCUGAAGCUUCUGUGGUCCUAGGCCCUCUAUUUAAAGUCAGCCCAAGGUUACAACUGCUUGAGGGAAUUAUGGAGUAUUGACUUUGAGCUCAGUCACACCCCUGUGUGCCUAUAGAAUCACUUGAUUCUCCUUCAACAUAGAUGUUGCCAUCUUAGCUUAGUAUUAGUUAUAUCUUGUUGUCAACCUGCUUAGAAAUCACUGGUCCUACUGAUAGCAUUCAGCUUCUCCUAGCUUGACCUUACACCUGCCCUG